UACGUAGGGUGCGAGCGUUAAUCGGAAUUACUGGGCGUAAAGCGUGCGCAGGCGGUUUUGUAAGACAGACGUGAAAUCCCCGGGCUUAACCUGGGAACUGCGUUUGUGACUGCAAGGCUAGAGUACGGCAGAGGGGGGUAGAAUUCCACGUGUAGCAGUGAAAUGCGUAGAGAUGUGGAGGAAUACCGAUGGCGAAGGCAGCCCCCUGGGUCGAUACUGACGCUCAUGCACGAAAGCGUGGGGAGCAAACAGG
rnacentral:rRNA from 1 species